UAGCUCUUCUGUCAGUUUGCCAGGACUUAGACUUCUAUGAAUCCAUGAAUGUGGGCUGGCUCUGCGAACACUGCUGUGAAGGCUACAUUUUUUUGCGGACCACCUAGGCACAGGUAGGUUGGUCUGCCUGGUUUGUACUGCAAGAGCAAAAUAACACAGACUGGGUAAUUUAUAAAUAAUAGAAUUUUUUUUUUCUCACAGUUCUGGAGGCGAGCAAGUCCAAGAUCAAAGCACUGGCAGCUUCUUUGAGGGUCUGUUCCAGUAAAAGCAUCUUCUUGCAACAACAUCCUCACAUGACAGAGGGGGGAAGGGCAACAGGACAUGAAUGCUGUGCCCUCACCUGGUGAAGAGAGGAAGAGCAAAAGGGUCUCAGCUAGCUCCCUCCAGCCCUUUUCUAAGUGCAGAAUUUUAUUGGCUUGUCAUGAAUUUUCA
rnacentral:lncRNA from 1 species